rnacentral:lncRNA from 1 species
GAGUCACCAAUCUUCAGCCCUGAGAUGGGAUGCCAGAUGCUGAAGUUGUUAUCCAAGUGUAUAACCCGAAAGAACUGGAAGAUGCCAUUGAGCAGAGCUGCACUCAUUAUGUAACCAAGGAAAAGAGCUUUGGAAGAAAAAAAAUCACAAAUGUCUACUGGGAAUUGUGUCCAGAAGCAGCAGCACAUUAUUGAAUAUUUUCUUUCCCAUCUGUCUUGCCUCCAUCUUCAAUCAAUCAAUCAAUCAAAGAAAGGAAGAAAGGAAGGACGGAAGGAAGGAAGGAAGGAGAAGGAAAGAAAGANUCUUGCCUCCAUCUUCAAUCAAUCAAUCAAUCAAAGAAAGGAAGAAAGGAAGGAAGGAGAAGGAAAGAAAGAAAAGAAAGAAAGAAAGAAGAAAGGACGGAAGGAAGGAAACAUUCCUUAUGUUACUAAAGAAAUGGAGGAUUCUAUUUCCUGAAAUACCUAGAGUAUUUGAAGAAUCUCCAUUGGCACGUGUGGCAAUAAACCUUCUGGAAGCCACUGGAGGCAAGCACCUGCUUAUUUCUAAUGUUUGCUUCUCUGCCACCCUGCCUGGAGAAGAGCAUCCUUCCAGAGGAAAACUGGAGGUUUCUGUCAGUCAAGAUGUCAGAAGAGCCUUCCACAGCCCGGUGCCUCCCUCUCCUCUCCCUUUGCCAGCUGGUGAGGGCCUUCCCCUCAACUUGCUUGGAGGCCUUGAAAGUUCAGGAGUAUACUUUAGUAACCACUCCCUCUCCCAAAAAGUACAAAGAAAAAUGCAUAAUGUAUGAUAAUGGUCAAACUAGUAAGAAUUAAAGUAAAUGGUGUGAUAUAAAAAGGGUUUCAAACAGGUUUAAUAAUUCUGCAAUUUGUUAUACAAAGUCAAUUUUUCCACUUGCAGAGCAAAGUUGCCUGGUGGGUUUAUUGGUUCACUCAUUAUUAGGUAUAUAUCACUUUUAUUGUUUCACAUUUUUAUCGUUUAUUAAAAAAAGACAGCAUUCAUGAAUAAAACAUUUUGGCUUCAGGCUGCCA